UGCAUGUCUCAGUACAAGCCUAAUUAAGGUGAAACCGCGAAAGGCUCAUUAAAUCAGUUAUGGUUCCUUAGAUCGUACCCACAUUUACUUGGAUAACUGUGGUAAUUCUAGAGCUAAUACAUGCAAACAGAGCUCCGACCGGAGACGGAAGGAGCGCUUUUAUUAGAUCAAAACCAAUCGGCGGCGGGUUCGCCCGUCGUCGUACAUCUUGGUGACUCUGAAUAACUUUUUGCUGAUCGCACGGUCCAGCACCGGCGACGCAUCUUUCAAAUGUCUGCCUUAUCAACUGUCGAUGGUAGGUUCUGCGCCUACCAUGGUUGUAACGGGUAACGGGGAAUCAGGGUUCGAUUCCGGAGAGGGAGCCUGAGAAACGGCUACCACAUCCAAGGAAGGCAGCAGGCGCGCAAAUUACCCACUCCCGGCACGGGGAGGUAGUGACGAAAAAUAACGAUACGGGACUCAUCCGAGGCCCCGUAAUCGGAAUGAGUACACUCUAAACCCUUUAACGAGGAUCAAUUGGAGGGCAAGUCUGGUGCCAGCAGCCGCGGUAAUUCCAGCUCCAAUAGCGUAUAUUAAAGUUGUUGCGGUUAAAAAGCUCGUAGUCGAAUCUGUGUCUCGCGCCGCCGGUUCAUCGCUCGCGGUGUUUAACUGGCGUGUCGCGGGACGUCCUGCCGGUGGGCUCAGCCUCCUUCGCGGGGGGCGGCCCAACUACGCAUCCCGCCGCGGUGCUCUUCGCUGAGUGUCGAGGUGGGCCGGCACGUUUACUUUGAACAAAUUAGAGUGCUUAAAGCAGGCUCAAACUUCGCCUGAAUAUUCUGUGCAUGGAAUAAUGGAAUAGGACCUCGGUUCUAUUUUGUUGGUUUUCGGAACCCCGAGGUAAUGAUUAAUAGGAACGGAUGGGGGCAUUCGUAUUGCGACGUUAGAGGUGAAAUUCUUGGAUCGUCGCAAGACGGACGGAAGCGAAAGCAUUUGCCAAAAACGUUUUCAUUGAUCAAGAACGAAAGUUAGAGGUUCGAAGGCGAUCAGAUACCGCCCUAGUUCUAACCAUAAACGAUGCCAGCUAGCGAUCCGCCGACGUUCCUCCGAUGACUCGGCGGGCAGCUUCCGGGAAACCAAAGCUUUUGGGUUCCGGGGGAAGUAUG
rnacentral:rRNA from 1 species